AAUCUACUCCCUCCGUCCCAAAAUUCUUGUCUUAGAUUUGUCCAAAUACGGAUGUAUCAAGUCACGUUUUAGUAUUAGGUACAUCCGUAUCUAGACAAAUCUAAGACAAGAAUUUUGGGACAGAGGGGGUAUAAU
rnacentral:pre_miRNA from 1 species